UGGGGAAUAUUGGACAAUGGGGGGAACCCUGAUCCAGCCAUGCCGCGUGUGUGAAGAAGGCCUUUUGGUUGUAAAGCACUUUAAGCGAGGAGGAGGCUACCGAGAUUAAUACUCUUGGAUAGUGGACGUUACUCGCAGAAUAAGCACCGGCUAACUCUGUGCCAGCAGCCGCGGUAAUACAGAGGGUGCAAGCGUUAAUCGGAUUUACUGGGCGUAAAGCGCGCGUAGGUGGCCCAUUAAGUCAAAUGUGAAAUCCCCGAGCUUAACUUGGGAAUUGCAUUCGAUACUGGUUGGCUAGAGUAUGGGAGAGGAUGGUAGAAUUCCAGGUGUAGCGGUGAAAUGCGUAGAGAUCUGGAGGAAUACCGAUGGCGAAGGCAGCCAUCUGGCCUAAUACUGACACUGAGGUGCGAAAGCAUGGGGAGCAAACA
rnacentral:rRNA from 1 species